UUUUUUGUGUGUAAAAAUCAAGAUCUCUCAUAUAUUCAUAUAAUAAUUAUGAUGUCCUAGACUAUAAGCUAGUAAAUUGUAACAAAAAGUAACAUUGAUGAAACUUUGAAUAAGAAAAUCUCUUUGUUGUUACAUUAAAGGAACAUUGUGACCUCCUUUGAUCAGAACAGCCUGCUAAAUAUGGCAUGAAUACAUACUUUUUCCAAACAAGCUAAGGAUGUUCCUGUAAGCAACCAGCUAUUCACAUUUGAUACAGCCAUACAGAAGACGGACAAAUAGCAAACAGGCAUGAAAGCCAACAGUGCCUAGCAUGAGGAAGACGCCAUAACUAACACAAGCCAUAUAUCCAAAGAAGAAUGAGGUUUGCAUGAAACCGUUCAUGUCUGAUCGUGAAAAGUAAUAGUAGAUGGAAUAACCAAAUAUGUACAAGCCAGUGGAUCCACCACAAAGAAAAGACCUGUUUCAAGUGAGCAAUUAGUCAGCUAGAAAGACAUAGCAAAAUAUUUCAAUUGCUUAGCAAUCAGACAUUUAUAGGUGACUAAGACAAUCCUCUCGCAAAGAGCUUGCAAGACCAGAUAAACUCAGUGCCCUACUGUCCUCGUGGAACUAGCAGGGAAUUCCUGUAGUGCAAAGUUAAGGCUAUGCUCUCCAAUAAGCUAAAUUAAGGAUAUCCUCAAGAACCACUAUAAGGUAAGCCAAGAUACCGGCACCUCUUGUACAACCAUAGAAGAAAGGUAGAGAUUCAGGGUGACUUCAACAUAUGAUUACUUAGAAAAAUCUAUUCACAUCUUUAAAAUGUAUAAAAGCAAAUGAAGACAGAGAGCUUAUUUUAAGUAUUUUUAUUUUUAUUUACAAUCAAUAUAUAUAUAUAUAUAUAUAUAUAUAUAUAUUUAUUAUUAUUAUUAUUUUCAUUCCUUUCUACGUAUUUUGUCAACCAAAUUUUUUACUUAAUAAAUCUCACAAAAUAAAUGCUUAUUUAAAGUCCACUUAUGAAUAGUCAAAUAAUCAAUUAAAAUAGGGAAACUGCAUAAGUACUCCUAACCUAUGCCCGAAAUUUCAGAGACAUACUUAUACUAUACUAAGGUCCUAUUACCUCCCCCCCCCCCAAACUUAUUUUUAUAAAUAAUUUUCUGCCCAUUUUCUGCCUACGUGGCACUAUUAACCAGAUAGCAAAAAAUUGUCAACACGCGCUGGGCCAGAAGAUAGUGCCACGUAGGCCAAAAAGGGGUAAAAAUUUAUUUAUAAAAUAAGUUCAAGGGUAAUAAGACAUUAAUAUAGUAUAAGUGUGUUUCUGAAAUUUCGGGCAUAAGUUGGGGAUACUUAUGCAUUUUCCCAUUAAAAUAAGAGAAAUUAAUAAAGCCAACCAAAAAUGUUUCGUUAUGAGUCCAUUCAUCUAAACCUUUAUCUAUUCAUCCUUUUUUCCCUCUCUAGAUUUUGUGCCUUUUUUCUUGCCUUAAAAAUUUGUAGAAAUUAAGACAAUUUUUUAAAUUUUGUUCACCAUUUAUCACCUUUUCCUAAAAUCUUUCUCUAUUCCUUCUUAAAGAUAUUAUUAUAUUACAAAUAAGACACCUAAUAUCAAAAUUAAGAUAAUUUUUUAAAUUUUGUUCAUCUUUUUUCACCUUUUCCUAAAACCUUUCUCUAUUCCUUCUUAAAGACAAUAUUAUAUUACAAUUAAGACACUUAAUACCAAUGUAAGUUACAAUUUUAUUUAUUACAAUUUUAUUUAUUACUAUAUUAGUUUUUUAAUUCAUAUUAUUCAAUUAAGUUACAAAUUUAUUGAUUACUAUAAAUACUAAAGCAUAUCAUCCUCACCAAUGGUAAGAAUUUCUUUCUUUCUUGAUUAUAUUUACACUUAAGUACAUCACUUUUUUAUGCCUAAUUUUAUAAUGUUUAGAUUAUGUGUGAUUAGCUUUUUUUGUUUACAGUAUGAAAGAUAAGAUGAGUAUAUGCCUAUGUUGUUUGUGAGAAUUCAAAUUCAAAAUUCAAACUUGAUAGGUAAUAUUAUUUGUUUUAUUUUAGUUUAGUUGAUGUCUCUUAUUUAUAGUGUUUUUCCUUCUUUAUUUCUUGUCUGUUUUAUUUUCUUCAUUAUUGUUGGUGAUUUUUCCAUACUUUUUAUUCUUCGCAUAUUUUUUGUGAAUCAUUUUUAUUGUUUAUGGUGAAAGAUAAGAUGAACAUAUGACAAUAUUUGAGAAUUUAAGUUCAGUUUGAUGAACACACUAUCAUUAUUAAUAUAUGCAAUUUUGUUACUAUUCUCUUUUACUCUUUUAAGACGUUAUAAAAUUUAUGGUAAUAAUAUUAAUUCAAAUGUAGUAAUCUCACAUUUUGUUUGUUAGGAUAAUAUCCUAACUUUAAAAAUAAUAAUCAUGAUUUACUAAAUUCAUAUUUAAUUUACAAAUUGAAAAAAUAAAAAGGAAUUGAUAAAGUAUGAUUAUCUUCAUGCUUUGAAUGCACAUGAUAACUUAAUAAAAAUUGAUAUUUUCAUGAUAUAAUUUGUAUGCAUAUGCUACAAAAAUAAAUUUUUGUUUAAAAAAAACGUAUAAAAAAAGACUCAACUUUCUUGCUAUGGGGAUUUUGAUAAAGUUUGCUUAAAAAGUUUUUCUCAAAUUUGUUAUAUGCAUUUUGAUAAAGUAUAAAGAGAUUGUUUCAAAUAAUUAAUUUCUUCAAAUACUUUAUAUUCUUUGUGUAAUUGGGGUUAUAUAUCUCUCAAUCUAUUUUUUUUAUAUAAAUAAUAAGUAUAUUAUAUUUGUAGUAAAAAUUAGUCAAGAUAGAAAGUUAUUUACAAAAUAUUUCACAAGCUAAGAUUAGUGAAAGGUGAAAAGAGAGUUAAUUCAUCAUUACUGAAGAAAGGAUAACAACUUUCUGUCACGCCCCGAGCUUACAUCCUGGGUGGGAUUGGCACUCGAGAACCAUUGUUGACCCUAAGCGAACCCUUGGCCUGACUUACUUACUUAGCGGAAGACUCUAAGCAUUAUUACAAUGAUCAAAUGCAUUUCUAAUCAACUGUUUAAUAAGAUAACUUAGAACGUUUAAAGGUCAAACAUUCAACUUGGCCAAAGUGGCAACUCAAGUUUUAACAUAAGAAAUAACAAUGUAAAGACAACUGAACUACUGACUAUCUAUGAAGCCUCUUAAACAAGGAGGGAUGUCGGGACAAGACCCCCGAUCAUCCUAACAAAUGAAAUACUAAAAAAAGAGCAAAUGAUAACAAAUGAGCCCUUCGGAAAGCAAUGAGGCUCACCAAUUGACUCUGAAGCUUAACUAGAAUCAACGAUGCGCUAGAUGCUGAUCAUGGUUACCUGUGUCUGCAUCAUAAGAAGAUGCAUGCCAAAUGACAUCAGUACAUUGAAUGUAUGAGUAUGCGAGGGGAAUUCUAAAACAAGACAUAAGCUUGAAAGGAAUUGAAGAACUUACAUGGCUCAACUCAUCUCAACUUAACUGAACUCAUUUCAAUAUAAAGCAGUAUAAGACAAGUGCAAUAUAAAGAAAAUCUUUUAAAACAUGGAUGCCAAUUUUGUGUGUAUGCAAAGAUACAAUAUAACUCUGAAAUGUAUGUAAAAAUACAAAUAAAUUGUGUAUAUAAGACUACAAUUUCUUCUGUGGGAGUUUCUCUAACCGACAACCAUCACGUAAGAGCUAUUGUGAUGAUACAACGUUUUACCUCACGUUGUCAGGGCCGUCAUAUACCUUGCCGAGGGUAUAGAACCUGACUACUAAGUGGAUCCACUAUUUUAUGCUAAAAAAGCACUAAGGAAUCAUCUAAAAAGUAUGACCCUUUUCUACCCAUGAUGACUACAUGGUUUAUGGGGGCUGUGAGUUGUCUGAACUCUCCCCCAUAUCGGUGCUCAAUACUACUUCCAAAUAUGAUACUAGCUCUUAUGUUUUAAAAACAUACUUCUUUCUGUGAUUUGAGAUAAUUGCUCAAAAAACUUUGCUCUAGCUCAAGGGCUAUCUUGGAAAUCAAAAUUUCCUCUCUUACUUAAUUGUGAAAGCGAAUACUCUUUUCUGAAAACUUGCUCAAAGGCUUUUUGGAAAUCAAGGUUUCCUUUUCUUGUUUAAAUGUGAAAAUAUUUUAAACUCUUUGAGAACACAUAGUCCCCAUAUACUUUAAAGAAAUGAACUUCAAUCUUUACUCUUUACUCUUUGCUCAACUUGAACUUUGAGUCUUAAAACAAAGUUAAAACAUUUGGAAAAGACUUGGAAAACUCUAGGAACUUCUCUUGACUUGACUCUUACUUCUCUUAACUUUGAUCUUAACUUUCCUUGAAUUGGAUUAUGGAUUCAAGGUUCAUGAUCUCAUAUUUAUGGUUGAUUUCAUGAUGUUUAGACGUUCCUUAGAGUGUUGAAAUCAAAUAGAAAAUAUAGGUACGUUGCUAAGGAACUAGCACGGAAAGAUGGGGGAGAAAUGGGAAGAACUGGCGUCCUAGCGCUCUGAGAGGCGCGGGGCACCAACCCUUGAAAUUCAGAGAGUGACUUGGGGCGCUCUGGCUGGCACAGCGCCCCAGAGGUCAAAAUUCAGAGACCCCUUCUUGGGGCUCUGAGAGGGGCGACGCCCCAAGACCCUACCCAGGUGCUCCCCGACUUUUCUUCUUCAUUUUUCAUCUCUAAACCCUCUAAUUUCACUUGGUUCUUUUCCCAAACACUUAGAAUCGAUUAUAUGUUCAAAGUAUGAAAGAUUCAACUUGAAAUCACACCUAAUUACAUGAAUUUGGAUCAAACAACUAAACAAUUUCAACGAAUCAAGAACUCAAAGGAACUUCAACAAACCCAUCAAAAAUUCAAUUUCUACACUUUCAAAGACUUAAAUUCGCUGAAAUAAAUCAUGAUUGGCGCGUGGGUGAACUAACCCAAUGCUAUGUGAUCUCACAUAUCUCGUAGGAUUGAUCUUUUGCGAAAUCCACAAUCAAACUUGAACGUUCUUGACGAAUCUUGCCUUUUCUCCUUUCUCCAAGCCAUAGUGUAAAUUUCCAAUUUUCUAAACUGACCAAAUUCUGAUUUGAUCCCAAUUAAACUUUUAAAAUGGAUUAAAAUAAUUGGGAAAGGAAAAGACUAAAAUACCCUUCCAAAAUUCGGUUUAGACUUUCCUUAAUUGAACAACCCAACUUCAAGUGGGCAUAUCUCCCUCAUACGAAUUCGGAAUCGUGUAAAUUUGGUGGCGUUGGAAAGAUUAUUCCAAGAUCUUUCCUAAGAUAUCUGAAAGCACACCUACUCAUCUUGAGCUAGGAGUUAUAGUCGUUUGAAGUUGACCAAAAACUCAACUUAACAUACUUAACAAAUUUUCCAUAUUUUUAUAUUCUUUCCAAAAAUGACUAUUUCCAAUUCUUAACUUCUUCCUAGUUAUUUCAAUUUGCGAGAUGUUAUACUUUCGAAGAAUAUGAACAUUAAAAAAGAAAGUAGUAAGAGACUACAAUAUUUAGAGGAAAAGAGUAAUUUUAUAAAACUAUAAUUGAUCUUUACUUGAACCACAACAAAUAUUUUUAAAUUGUUUUGAUUUGAUGAACAAGGAGGAUAAUGACAUUUUGGAUUAAACACAACAAAGAACCUUCACAAAACUUUUAGCAGUCAACUAUUUUAAUUAUUUUUUUGACAAAUUAAACGAGUUAUUUAUGAUCGCGCGAAGCACAACUAAGUUCACUAGGAUUAAAAGAAAAGACAAAUGUACAAUAUUGUUAGGACAAUAAAAGUGGAAUGACUGAAAUAUCCGAAUGACGAAGAGCUACUUGGGACUCAUACUAAUUUAGAUGGAUAUACAAUUCUUACAUUAAGUAAAACAUUUGUUCUAAAAAAAAAAACUUAUAUUGUACCAUAUAAAUGUCACUAAAAAAAUAGAACUAACAUGCUAAUAAGCGUAUAAAUUGUAAAUUUACCACCAACAGAUAACGUGUUUAUUAGCCUUACCCUCUCACGGAGAGAAUUGACUUAAUACCAAAAAGAAUAAAAAAUAUCAAAGAAUUGAAAUUCGAAAAGCAUAUGUAAAUAUAUUUAAGAAAGAAAUUAUAAAAACUACAUAUCGAUUAAUUAAACCAAAAAAAAGAAAGAAUAAUGACACACUAAAAAUAGUUUUUAUUUUUAUUUUUUUGAUUAAAAGGAUAGCACUAAAAAAUAGUUCUACUCUCACUAUUGACUAAAAAAUGAUUUUAAAAUAUAUCAAUAAUUUAUUAAUAUAUCUCAAAAGUGAAACUUGUAUUCGCUAAUAAAGUUUCCUACUAUCGCACCUUUGAAAUAAGAUUCUAGAAUCCCUCUUAUUAUUUAUAUUAUAUCCUUAUUAACAUUCCAAAAUAGCCAAGUCAUUGAAUUAUUUUUCUUGUCAAAACUUUAAUUACACUAACUAAAAGCUAUAAAGCAUUUAAAGAUGAAACUUGAUACUUUUAUCAUGUCAAAAGAGUGUUUAUGCUAUAAGUAUUAGUAUUCACAAAUUUUGAGUUUUUUUUUUAGAUUUAGAAGCUACAAUUAUAGCAAUUUUUUUUGGCUAUAAUUUAAGUAUUCUGUCAAUUUUAUUAUAAAGACACCCCAAGUAUAUGAGAUCUCUUGAGAACAAAAACAUGACCGAUCUUUUGUGUGUAAAUAUCAAGAUCUCUCAUAUAUUCAUAUAAAUUAUGAUGUACUAGACUAUAAGCUAGUAAAUUGUAACAAAAAGUAACAUUGAUGAAACUUUGAAUAAGAAAAUCUCUUUGUUGUUACAUUAAAGGAACAUUGUGACCUCCUUUGAUCAGAACAGCCUGCUAAAUAUGGCAUGAAUACAUACUUUUUCCAAACAAGCUAAGGAUGUUCCUGUAAGCAACCAGCUAUUCACAUUUGAUACAGCCAUACAGAAGACGGACAAAUAGCAAACAGGCAUGAAAGCCGACAGUGCCUAGCAUGAGGAAGACACCAUAACUAACACAAGCCAUAUAUCCAAAGAAGAAUGAGGUUUGCAUGAAACCAUUCAUGUCUGACCGCAAAAAGUAGUAGUAGAUGGAAUAACCAAAUACGUACAAGCCAGUGGAUCCACCACAAAGAAA
rnacentral:lncRNA from 1 species